AUUAUUCAGCGCGAGCAGCACAGAGACGCGCUGACCUUGGGCAGCCUCCCCCCGAACCGCCGCCACACCCCGCCCACUCCGCAGCGGCUACUCGUUUCUGGUUGCGAUCAAAUAACAACUGCCAAAGCAAAAACCAAAGUAAAAAGGCAGAGCAGAAUUUGAUCGUACUCGGACAUUCGGACAUCCACUGCCCAGAACCACAGUCGCCGAACGGGUAGCAACAUUGUAGAGAUCUGAGUGACAAAACCAUUUUCGAAAAUAGUUUUUGUUCUCGGGAUGGGACUGUUCAAAAUAGGAAUACCACGAACCCAAUGCGCAAUUGGGCAGAAAUGCUGACUGCAGGCAAAUAUUUAGGCAUCGUGUGACAUCACGAAUGAUGAGCCAAGCACAAAGGGGGAAGAAAGAGAUAAUACUCGUACUGUCACUCACAACCCGAAAUAUCUAAAAAUAUUAAAGUAUUUAUACCAAUUCCACUGCUAAAGGGCGUGAUGGGUAUGCUUAUGACUCGGGCACUUUACAAUCGGUUCAAAUUCAAGGGUUACACGGCCGCGAUUUGCAUUGCAUUCGCAGGCAUUGUCGAUAAAAAUGGGUACAGCAAAAAAGAUUUCCUACGGAUGCUGAAUCAGACGAAAGCUACGUCAGAUCCGCCGCUCUCGCUCUUCACGCAUACACCCGUCUCUUUCGCUCCGCUGCUUCCGUCUCUCUCUGGGCGAUGUCUGCGGGCAUAUACCCGUCUCUCUCGCUCCGCUGUUUCCAUCUCUUUUUCUGGGCGAUGUCCCUGUGCAUUGUGAGUUAUUUGCGUCGCCGCCAGCGUUUUCGAGUUUAGCGGCCUGUCGCGCAUUCAAGGACGCCCCGCUUUGUUUUGUUAUUGUCUGGAGUAACUCGGUACCUUAUAAAAUACAAAAUAAAAUAUAUAUAAAUAUAAAAAACGGCAACAACAACGGAAAGUGCAUUGAAAUCGGAAUCAUGCAUUGGCUUGGAAUUCGGAAUACAUUGUUGUCUACCAAAAGUACUCGAACUUUGGAUUCGGCUCUGCCUUUAUUUUUGUUUUCCAAUUUUAUUUUCACUUUGCUGAAUUACUCCGUGUGUCGUUUGCUUUGCCCCGCACCAUAUUUACUUAGAAUUUUAUGGACAAACUGAUUUAUUUGGCAAAAUAUUUGCAAAUAACAACAGCCCAGGCGGCGGGGUGAAGGUCGGCAUGGAAAGUCCCCCGUCCCGGUGCCAGCAGCUCGCUUCUAUUUAUCUAAUUAACAAAAUUAAAAUCAACAAAUGCCACACUGCAUAUUAAGCGAUAAUUUGGCAAACAGCAGUCCCACAAACAGAAACUCGCCCUCGGAGCCGCCUCGAAAGCAGCUUUGAAGAGAAAGAAGCAGACAGGGAACACAUGAGGCUCGAAUUCAGGUUUAUGGCCAAGGUCAAGGACGCCCCAUGACAAUCGGAAAGUCAGUAAGCGAGUGUAGUACAAUGAAUAAGCGAUGCGAAAUUAAAUCAAACUGAUUGUGGGCCAGACUGACAGAACGUCGAAACGGGCGAUAAUUGGGACGGAAGCCGAAAGAAAGCAGUGUGGGAAUCGCUUGGGGAUGAAAAAGUAAUACUCCGAGUUACAGAUACUAACGUUCAAAAAGAAGUAUACUGAUUAGAAAGUUAACAAGAAAGCUUAAACUCUUUUAAGAUACGAGAAAAGCAAUGCACAAUUUUGUGCAUUCAAGUGGAAAUUAACGCAUUACUCUAUUAGGUUGACGUUUUUCGGCGGUUAAUAAAUAAUGCUCGACGCCUCAGUUGUGAUUAAUUGGUGGAUUCGUCCAGGAAGUUGGUCGCGACCGAUGGGCUGGCCCCACA